rnacentral:rRNA from 1 species
AGUGUGGACGCCAGUCUGCAUGGAGCCGUCCUUGAAAUACCACCCUUUAAUGGCUGGUGUUCUAACGUAGACCCGUGAACCGGGUUGCGGACAGUGUCUGGUGGGUAGUUUGACUGGGGCGGUCUCCUCCUAAAGCGUAACGGAGGAGCACGAAGGUUGGCUAAUCCUGGUCGGACAUCAGGAGGUUAGUGCAAUGGCAUAAGCCAGCUUGACUGCGAGCGUGACGGCGCGAGCAGGUGCGAAAGCAGGUCAUAGUGAUCCGGUGGUUCUGAAUGGAAGGGCCAUCGCUCAACGGAUAAAAGGUACUCCGGGGAUAACAGGCUGAUACCGCCCAAGAGUUCAUAUCGACGGCGGUGUUUGGCACCUCGAUGUCGGCUCAUCACAUCCUGGGGCUGAAGUAGGUCCCAAGGGUAUGGCUGUUCGCCAUUUAAAGUGGUACGCGAGCUGGGUUUAGAACGUCGUGAGACAGUUCGGUCCCUAUCUGCCGUGGGCGCUGGAGAACUGAGGGGGGCUGCUCCUAGUACGAGAGGACCGGAGUGGACGCAUCACUGGUGUUCGGGUUGUCAUGCCAAUGGCACUGCCCGGUAGCUAAAUGCGGAAGAGAUAAGUGCUGAAAGCAUCUAAGCACGAAACUUGCCCCG